UACGGAGGGUGCAAGCGUUAUCCGGAUUUACUGGGUUUAAAGGGUGCGUAGGCGGGCCCUUAAGUCAGUGGUGAAAGCUCCGAGCUUAACUCGGAAACUGCCAUUGAUACUAUAGGUCUUGAAUUCGGUCGAGGUUGGCGGAAUGUGUCGUGUAGCGGUGAAAUGCUUAGAUAUGACACAGAACACCGAUUGCGAAGGCAGCUAGCUAGACCGACAUUGACGCUGAGGCACGAAAGCGUGGGGAGCGAACAGG
rnacentral:rRNA from 1 species